ACAGGGUGACAGCCCCGUACACAAAAGCGCAUGUGCUGUGAGCUCGAUGAGUAGGGCGGGACACGUGGUAUCCUGUCUGAAUAUGGGGGGACCAUCCUCCAAGGCUAAAUACUCCUGACUGACCGAUAGUGAACCAGUACCGUGAGGGAAAGGCGAAAAGAACCCCGGCGAGGGGAGUGAAAAAGAACCUGAAACCGUGUACGUACAAGCAGUGGGAGCACAGGUUUACCUGUGUGACUGCGUACCUUUUGUAUAAUGGGUCAGCGACUUAUAUUCUGUAGCAAGGUUAACCGAAUAGGGGAGCCGGAGGGAAACCGAGUCUUAAUUGGGCGUUAAGUUGCAGGGUAUAGACCCGAAACCCGGUGAUCUAGCCAUGGGCAGGUUGAAGGUUGGGUAACACUAACUGGAGGACCGAACCGACUAAUGUUGAAAAAUUAGCGGAUGACCUGUGGCUGGGGGUGAAAGGCCAAUCAAACCGGGAGAUAGCUGGUUCUCCCCGAAAGCUAUUUAGGUAGCGCCUCGUGAAUUCAUCUCCGGGGGUAGAGCACUGUUUCGGCUAGGGGGCCAUCCCGGCUUACCAACCCGAUGCAAACUGCGAAUACCGGAGAAUGUUAUCACGGGAGACACACGGCGGGUGCUAACGUCCGUCGUGAAGAGGGAAACAACCCAGACCGCCAGCUAAGGUCCCAAAGUCAUGGUUAAGUGGGAAACGAUGUGGGAAGGCCCAGACAGCCAGGAUGUUGGCUUAGAAGCAGCCAUCAUUUAAAGAAAGCGUAAUAGCUCACUGGUCGAGUCGGCCUGCGCGGAAGAUGUAACGGGGCUAAACCAUGCACCGAAGCUGCGGCAGCGACGCUUAUGCGUUGUUGGGUAGGGGAGCGUUCUGUAAGCCUGUGAAGGUGGCCUGUGAGGGUUGCUGGAGGUAUCAGAAGUGCGAAUGCUGACAUAAGUAACGAUAAAGCGGGUGAAAAGCCCGCU
rnacentral:rRNA from 1 species